rnacentral:rRNA from 1 species
AGAUCUGAAAUCAGGUGGGACUACCCGCUGAACUUAAGCAUAUCAAUAAGCGGAGGAAAAGAAACUAACAAGGAUUCCCCUAGUAACGGCGAGUGAAGCGGGAAAAGCUCAAAUUUAAAAUCUGGCAGGUACCCUGUCCGAGUUGUAGUUUCAAGAAGCGUUUUCGGUGCGCGUCCGGGUAUAAGUUCUUUGGAACAGGACAUCAUAGAGGGUGAGAAUCCCGUUUAUGACCCGGAACUGCGUACUAUGUGAUACGUUUUCUAAGAGUCAGGUUGUUUGGGAAUGCAGCCUAAAAUGGGUGGUAAAUUUCAUCUAAAGCUAAAUAUUGGCGAGAGACCGAUAGCGAACAAGUACCGUGAGGGAAAGAUGAAAAGAACUUUGAAAAGAGAGUUAAACAGUACGUGAAAUUGUUGAAAGGGAAACGUUUGAAAUCAGUCGUGCGGGCGGGUAAUCAGCUUGGCCUUUGGGUCUUGUGCACUUUCUCGUCUCGCAGGCCAGCGUCGGUUUUGUUUGCCGGAUAAAUGCCAAAGGAAUGUAGCUCCACCUUUCACGAGGAGGGGUCUUAUAGCCCUGGUAAAUACGGCGGUCGAGACCGAGGUCUGCAGUUGAUGCCUCUCGGGGCUGGGGACUCCAUCGCUCAUUCGCACCCGCGCCUAGACAGCUUGCUGACUAGGUGUGUGGUCUGUGGGUGACACGGUGGCCUUAC